rnacentral:rRNA from 1 species
UACGUAGGUGGCAAGCGUUGUCCGGAUUUACUGGGCGUAAAGAGCGCGUAGGCGGCUAGAUAAGUCCGGUGUGAAAGUCACAGGCUCAACCUGUGAAUGCCGCUGGAAACUGUCUGGCUAGAGUCCGGAAGGGGCGAGUGGAAUUCCUGGUGUAGCGGUGAAAUGCGCAGAUAUCAGGAGGAACACCAAUGGCGAAGGCAGCUCGCUGGGACGUGACUGACGCUGAGACGCGAAAGCGUGGGGAGCAAACAGG